GGCUAUGCCUCAAUUGAUAAAGUGAACUAAUUGCCUACUUCAAAAGCAGUUUUGCAUGAAAGUCAACAUCUAAUUGGAAUUUACAAUGCCCGAUAUUUCUACACAUCUGCCACAAAUUUUAUGGAAAACAAUAUUUAUAGAAACUGAACAUACCUUGGUUAAACGUAUAUGAAAUGGGUAACCAUCCUCGAAGAACAUCAACCAGCUGUCGGCAAUGUGCAGGUGGACUGAGGAAUUUUCCGGUGUGUCUUUUUAUGGACUGUACUCCGUCUUAGCACAAUUCCCAAGUUUUACCCGAGAGGCCACGCUUCAGUUGGACCGUCUUCCAUAUAUCUACUGACUUCAUAUAAACGAAAGUGUACUGAGGACUCACUGAUCUACACUACCAGCUCAUGCUCAACGUUACUGAACAACAAAGUAAUCCGACAAUCAGACUGGACCCGGUCAUGUUAGAUACCAGUGGAAGGAGAUGAACAUACAAUUGACUCCGCAUCGAUGCAUGACUUCGCCCGGAACGCGGCAAGAACCAACAAUGGAAGAAAAACUACAGACGUGUUUACUAACAAUAAAGUUAUUUUUGUUUUUAUGAAAUAGCGAUUGAAUAAAAAUAUUAGGUAUAUGAGUUUUAUUUAGAGAUGAAAUAAGUCAGAAAUACAGCACACCCACUCGUCUUCACAACAACAA